rnacentral:rRNA from 1 species
GACGAACGCUGGCGGCGUGCUUAACACAUGCAAGUCGAACGAUGAAGCUGGAGCUUGCUCCGGUGGAUUAGUGGCGAACGGGUGAGUAACACGUGAGCAAUCUGCCCUCGACUCUGGGAUAACUGCGGGAAACUGUAGCUAAUACCGGAUACGAGGCUCGAAGGCAUCUUCGGGUCUGGAAAGAAUUUCGGUCAAGGAUGAGCUCGCGGCCUAUCAGCUUGUUGGUGAGGUAAUGGCUCACCAAGGCGACGACGGGUAGCCGGCCUGAGAGGGAGACCGGCCACACUGGGACUGAGACACGGCCCAGACUCCUACGGGGGGCAGCAGUGGGGAAUAUUGCACAAUGGGCGAAAGCCUGAUGCAGCAACGCCGCGUGAGGGAUGAAGGCCUUCGGGUUGUAAACCUCUUUUAGCAGGGAAGAAGCGAAAGUGACGGUACCUGCAGAAAAAGCACCGGCUAACUACGUGCCAGCCGCCGCAGUAA